UGCGACACCACGUCAGAAUGUAUCCCGUGGAAUCUACCUUAAUCUAUCUACGCUAAGGGUUACGCAAAUAUGCGCAACCUUUUUUCUUUUUUUUUCUUUUUUAAUAAAGUUUAAACAACGUUUAAGUAAUAAUUUGAGUUGUUUCUUUUCGGUAUCGAUAAAUUGAACUGAUAUAUAACUUUUAUUUUUCAAAAGUCUGAAAUGAAAAGUAAAACUACCGAUCGGAUAUUGGGUGUAAGUUUACACGAGGAUAUCGAUAAUUGUACGCCAUCUGUGUUUAUUCGAGAUAAUUUCUUAUUUACAGAGAAUUACGCAUUUAGCUUUUAGAUAAUUUAGUCCGCCAGAUAUUAACAAAGCAAUGUCCUCUUGGUAACAUGAAUUUUUCAAACCUAGUUUCCUCUGUUCGUUCAACAAAAGAUUUCUCUGUUAGAAGACCAAUAACGUAUUUCUACGUAAAUCGUAUCGAGAAGCAUAGAUACCAUAAACUACAUGUUACAUAGAUGCACUCUAAUUCUCUGUCGUAUCCAGAAAAAUAUACGUAACGAUUCUGUAAUCUCAAGAAGACCUUCACUACCACUUCAUUCCUUAAGUCCGCGAUAUAGAAAAACAUCUUACGAAGCGAAGUAUCAUCGCGAAUUAUGCAAUGACUUCUGGCCAGACAAACAGAUUAAAACAAUCAUUCCAUGUCGUUACGAGCACAGAGUCGAUCGUACUUGACAGCUAUAUUGCGAGUUAAAAAAAAGUGCAAAGUAAAAAAUACCACUAAUAUAUUUUUUCAAGCUGCGUGAUUAUGACAAACCUCGUGAGACACGCCGGUGGCGCACAACACGAAACAUCGAAUAAUCCAAGCAAGAAGUUCAAACGUGGACCACCAGUGGAUGCACGCGGCGGAGAAACGUGGUGUGUGUCGAAUGGUUUCCACGUCCUCGGAUAUAUUUGUUUCGCUAGUUUCGUCGCGCGACCCCAAGCAGAAAGGAAGAAAGAAAGAGGAAGAAGGAAACAGAGAGGAAAAAAGCUAACAGAGAUUCUUUUUGAGAGGAACGUCGAAGGUUCCUACGACUAAAUUGAUCGUGGCCUUGAAGUAGCGAGCAGACGAGCCGCAAGAAGUACUACAAGUACGAGUGCACGUGUUGGAGAGAGAGAGAGAGAGAGAAGGAGCCAGGGUCGAAUUGAACUUACAUCUCUUACGUAAUUACCUUGAAAGAAAAAAAACGCGUAGAAAAAAGGAUUUAACCUUUGCGGCAUUCGCUUCGAUGCACGUUACCAUUGCUCGAUGUGACUUGUUAAAUUAUGCAUAUGCUAAUUUGAGGAUGAUAAGGAGAAUAUGUAUAGACGUGGAGGAAGAGGAUGAUCAUAGAGUUUAUCCCGAUGUUCUUCGAAUUUUCAUUUACAACGUUCAUGACAUAUUAAAUAUUGAUACUUUUCAUAUGAAUUUUUUAUUAACAUGAAUUUUAAUUAUAUUUUAGGGGACAGCGGUAUUAUUAAACAUAUCGUUAUUAGACUUUCUAUUUAUAUCGUAGCAUUAUUAAUUAGAAUAUUAAUAUUUGUAUUACAUCUUUAGGGACUAUCGUAUCGUAGUAGUCGAAGAAGACCAGGAUGAAAACUGUGAGGGUUUAAUAACCUGUCGGUUACGAAAUAGGUUACUUAAUGGAAAAUUGCAUUCCAGAAGGGUCAGAUGCGUCAAUUCAUUCAUAGGAAUUCAAGUAGGCGUUGAUUAUGAUGAGCAAGAAACGCGGUGUGGUGUAACGGGUAGCAGUUGCUACGAAACACACAGUUCGUACACAUGAAAAUAAUGCAGUGAAUCGUUUACUGAAUUCGGAGCUUAUCAGAAUCGUUCAAAUAAUCUGUUCUAAUAAGAAUACCACUGAUGUUCGAGUAUGAGAAAGAACUGCGUGACAAUUGCUAAGAAAAAAUAAAAUUUAACAUUGUCAAAUGAUUUAGGAACCGUGUUAUUAUUCGUUGAAAAUAUUCCACUUGCUAGAAAUUUAUUCCAAACCACAAGGCAUCUAAAAGGGCAGACUUAUUAGGAGUGACUUGUUUUUACAAUAAUAACUAAUCGCCUAACCAUUAAAAAGAAUACCUAUUUCCUGGAGAUUGCAUAAACUUCUACGAAAACAAGAUUAAAACAGCAACUCAACCAAUAUAAAUUGCAUAACGCGUAUAGAGGAAGAAAAGUGGCGAGCGGUACAUACUCGACGAUCGCACAAUCGAUCGGCUACCUCUUUUCCGUUCUGAAACGUGACCAGGCGUGCAUCCACUUCCGUUCGAAAUCGAUCCCCGCGUGAAUCAGCAACAAUUUGCGUACGGGAACUCUAAAUAACACGAAGUACCCUAGAAACUUGAAAUCACUAUUUUUUCUUUAAUCGAGUAAAAGUUAGGAUUAUUAUUCUAAGAAGAAAGCAACAUUAUCGAUGGUUUGCCAGAAGAAGUUCAUAAUCGUCAAUGAUUUGCGAGUGAAGCUCUAAAUUAUGAAUCAAGGGGAAAAUUAAAGAAUAGCAGAAAAUUUAUCACCGAAAGCCUAAAAUCGACGACUAUCCUUUGUAAAGAAGUUCACAAAAGGUUGACCUGUUAUUAAUUCGCGCAGCGAGCAAUGUUAUUAAUUCCAGUCGAGAAUUAUUGGUAAUCUGCAGAUUCGAUGGUCUCGUUAUAGUUAAUGGACUAUGAACGCGUUAUCAAAAUUUUUAAUUACUUCCUAAGUUGUUUUUUAAAUUCGGUUGCUACCUGAAAGAAUCAUCAGAACUAUCGGUGAAUUGCAAAAGCAAAAAAAAAAAAGGAAGGACUCUUCGAAGAGGCGUACUUUGUCUAAGGUUGCAUUCCGAGUUAGUCAAACAUCCUAAAAAUUCAUAUCAUACUUAGUGAUCGACCUCGAAAAAUGAUGGAGACCAAAAAGGAAGGCGUGGACCGAAGAGAGAUAGGUGAAGAAGACAAGAGGAAGAGGAAAGAAGAAGAAGACACCGAGGUCGAGCCCCUACGAGUCAACGAUCCCUGACGUCGUAUGUACACGACCUUGGCGAACGAAGUCGAGCCCGAAGCCAAAUCUAUUUCUCUAGUUGGUCUGCUGGUUUGACGUAGUCCUUAUCGCGAUCCGCGUUACGGCCUUCAGGCCACCGGCCUAUGCCGUUAGGGACCCUUGAAACCCGGCUCGAAUCGGAGUCCCAUGAAAUUUUUAUUACGAAAACGACAUCACGCAAACAGAUUCACACGUCAUAGGUCAUUGACAACGAAUGCGUGCUGUUGGAGGUUCCCCAGGAUGUUCGAGGUUUUCUCACAUAGAGCAAUUGCUAUCUGUCGUAAUAUUCAGAGCUUUUGCAUGGAUUAAUUAAGCUUGGCUUUUUUUUUCUUUUUGGAAAAUCGUAAGAUGGAGGAUAAUUGGCUUGUUCGUGCCAAUAAACGUUCAUGUGAAAAUAAAAUUAUAUGCGUUUAUGCGAAGUGUGACGUGUAUGGUUGGGCUAUCGCUACUUUUAGUGAUUUUUUAAAUUUAUUUUUAUUAAUAUAUGAAAUGACAGUAGAACUUUGUCGAGAUGGAUCUGCGGAACAGUUUAUGGGAUAGACACGAGCAUUUUGUAUAACUGGAGUUUACAUAAUUGGAUCUUGUUGUAGAAGUAUAAUAGAAUUUCGCGUUCAGAUAAAUUCAGUUACUAUCGGUUCGUCUAAUCGGGUAAUGAUUCAAAUUUAUAAUGCAGAAGCAAGCGUAGAUUGCAAAUUUAGCCUGUUGAAGCAAUCCGAUACGAUACACGAGGUCGAUUUUCUCUUAAACCGGAAAAUAUCGCGUCGAUCGGGUUAAUUAACAUAGGCAACAACUCUUGACUAGCGAUCAGAUAGAAACGAAGACAGCUAACAACUGUCUAGAGAACGGAUAAUCAGUUUGAACAGGCGAUUAUCAGUUUCUAUCGCGAAGCAAUGCGGCGUGAAACGUCGAUUCGUUUCGAAACUUUGUCUACUUCGUUAAACGGCCGGUUUCCGCGAAGAAAAUGCGAAACAACGAAGUCGCGAAAGAGAAAACCAUCGUACGAAGAAUCGACAAAUCGAUGUACAAAGGGAAGCGUGAGAAACGUCAGCGCAACGACUCUGGACGAAGUGAAAGUCACUUCUUCUCUCUUCUUCGUCUUUCUUCGAUCGCUUUUUUUUCACUGAAAACAAUGCACGAUUUCUGCGGAAUAUGGAAAUUAAUGGUCUUUAAUACGACGACGAAAUUAAGACUUUCCAUAGAAAAUUUUCUCCUCCAGCAGGAAAGUUGAUUUAAUUGUACCGUAGAAAAACAUUUUCUAAAAGUGAUGACAUUCUAUAGAAAAAUUGUAUUAUGUUUCAUUCUGUACAUAAUAUUACAUCCUGAAGAGAUGCCGAUGCAAAAUUUUCUUUCAAUCGAGAAAAUUGUUUCAAAAAUAAAUGUUCACCCCUUUGUCAAUAUCAUAUACGCCUUUGUAUUACGGUGUGUCAGUCGAUGGGUAUAAAUACAAAAUAAUUCACGUCAACUGGGACAAGUCAUUUCUUUUUUGAUCGAGAUUAGAAAAAGCACUAGCUUCUACCACACAUAUCUUUUUCACAAUUAUCAAUCGUACACGAUCGUUCGAAAUAGAAUUUUAUAUUUCUCUAUACGGAUCAAAUCAGCUUAUGUUUUAUCGGCUUUAUAAAAAAAGCACGAGGCUAAUGUGAUCGAAAAAUGAUUACUUCGUGAAACCUCGAGUCGUGAUGCGAAUCGUUUCCAGCAUAGUCAUAAAUAUUCACAACCUUAUAAAUGUACUAGCAAUCUUGUAAAACGAACUACUGUGCUGUGCAAU